rnacentral:rRNA from 1 species
CAACUCUCAACGAUGGAUAUCUAGGCUCUCGCAACGAUGAAGAACGCAGCGAACUGCGAUACCUAGUGUGAAUUGCAGAACUACGUGAAUCAUCGAGUUUUUGAACGCAUAUUGCGCUCGAAGCUUCGGCUUAGAGCAUGUCUGGCUCAGUGUCGGGUA